rnacentral:lncRNA from 1 species
CUUUUCAUUCACAGNCUCGGGUGACGUUCUGGUUGUCCUGUAAUGUGUGAAAAACAGGCAUAGACAGAAUCGCGUAUUUCUUGGUUUAAUCUUUGACAUGACUGUUUUGUGCCCCAAAGGGGAGCAGAUGACAGGCCACCUGGGCCCAGAUGCUGAGAGGGGCGUAAAAGGAUGAAGGUCCUUGGACUUCUGUGGCUGACCGUUGCUCUGUGGACCGAGUGUGCUCGUUGUCUGCAAUGCUACGUGUGCAACGAGACACGCUACACCAGCUGCCAGAAUAUCGAGAACUGUUCNGAAAGUGAUCGCUUCUGCAUGAAAUACACAUCUACCACCAGGAAUGGCUUCAACAUUGAGCAAGACUGCGCUUCCAACUGCCUUGUUGCGAAAACAAACUGGCCGUCGCUCUAUACUUUCACGUGCUGCCAGGAAGAUCGGUGCAACAGUGCUGGAGUAGCCAAGGCCGACAGGUCUGUGCUGGUGGCCGCCAUCUUCGUCGGCGUUCUCAGAGCUUUGACAGAGAUGGAACUCUGACANGGCAAGGCGCUCCCGCAUGCAAAGUCACAGUCUCUCAUCUGCUCUCUGGAUGCGGCGCCCGAGUUAAUCCGGAGCCUUACAGCAAAGAAACUCCCUGUUUUGUCUGCCACUUCNGCUUCACUUUCUCAGCCUGGCUUAAGAAUGGGCAUCCGAUGCCACCAGACGCCUGUGGACUGUGACUUCUCAAUCACUGUCUUGUUUGUACUUGGAGAGCUGUUCUGGGCUCUGAGUUAAUAAUGGGAACAAUUGGGCCCAGGUCAGCCUCAGGCCAUUUCCGGCAUAUGGGCUCUUUUUGGCUGAGCUGCACCUAACAGAAUGAUGGAAAACUGGGUACAGUGUCAGCUGCAGGGUUUUUGUUUUGUUGUUGUUGUUGUGUUGUUUUCCCCUCUUCCAGUGUAAAAAGCGCAUUACAUUCUUGAUCAACAAUGCCAGAUGGAUCAGCUCAAGGGGAAACAACGCUGAAAAAGUAUCAAGGACGUUGCAAGGAUGAACGAGGGAAAAGAAAGCUGCAGAAGAGAUUCUUUUGCCUGNCUUAUUCUAGCAGACUGAUUUGAUGCAACAUUGCCAAAUGGUCAGGAGANCGGGGAGCACCUUGCUGAAGGAUAAUGUCCUUUGCUGGAUCACACUGAGAAGCCUUAGUCUGGAUAAAGUGCGCAUAGAAUUAGAUGUAUUCACUCAGUCCACCAUUUUUAUACCUUCCUCCUCCUGCAUAAAGGAACUGAAGAAGAUUUGCAACAACAAUCUGAAAUACCAAAUACAAAUUAAAACAACAACAAAAUAAAAUAACUUAACAC